rnacentral:lncRNA from 1 species
UUUCUCUUUGUAAUCUUUGCUUUCAUCUAAACUACGGUUUGCACUCUAGCUUGGAUUCCGCACUUGCUAGAGUGUUGAACAUAACAAGGAAUAGGUUUAUCCUCAACCUCCGAGGGACCUACACCAAGUUCAAAUUCAUCCUUCUUCACACACCACCACUAUUUCACUUGCAAUACGUAAGAGGCUACAAGUACCGUUGAAGACAACUUUGAAUCUUCCGGUGGAUUUAUCGAGUUCGUAGCCGGUGAUGCCAAUUGGAAGAAAACCCUUCAAAAUCCGUGUGCAAUUAGCAGGUUUCAUCACAUCUCACCUUUAUUCGAAUUAAAAUUAGCCCUAAAUCUUGCUUCUGUUACAAUCGAGUUUCAUACGGAUGCCACCGCCUCCCAACCAUGAGAUCGAAGAGUGACGAAGGCAAAAUUUAAUGAACAGAGGUCCUCUAUUUGAUUGAUUUCAGGUUACUCUGUUUUGCAGAUUUUGGGUUCACAACUUCACAUUAGAUAUAAGUUUUGUCUUGGAACCCUUCAUUGUUUAUUCUGAACCCUCACUGUUCUACUAUUUUAAUGGGAUUUGAGUAGUGAGUUAGUUAUUGUUCUUUUUAAUGGUAAUCACAAUCACAUAAAUAAGUGUUCUUUUUAGUUUAAAUGUUUCUAUAGAAUCCUUUGCACAUUUGUAAUAAGUAUUAACCUAAUCUUUAUAAUCCAUCCAUCUGAGGAUACUUUUUCGUGACAUAAAUAUAUAUCUUUGGAUUCUGGAUGGAAAAAGAUAAUGUUACGACAUGUCAACCCAGUGGGGGCACAUCCAAGUGAAUAUAUUGGUGAAGAUCAUCUUGUAACCCCAAAUAAUCUUAUGCCUUUUGUCCAGCGAGUAGUUGUUGGCAGUAGACCUAUACUCAUAGUAUUCUCAACCAAAGAUGGAACAUAGAUUUUAGCUGAUGGGCUUAUGGCUGCAUUUAAAAAACUCUCAGACUUUGGAAAUAGGUAUGUGUUUUUUUUAUCAUGUUUAAUUAUUUCAUAUAUUUUAUGUUAGUAUUAUUAGUAUUUACUAGACACAAUUACAAAGAAUCACAGCUAUUUGGCAAAUUGUAAUUAAUUAAAUAAUAUAUAAGUCAUUGUUUUGGAUUUUGUUGCCAUUGGGAUAGUUGACCCAAAUACAGGGCUAGGUUGCCUCCUAUGAACCGUGGUUAACAAUGAAUUAUAGGCUCAUUCGUUACGAAAGGUAAACAUUAUGUUUUCAUUAAGUCAAACUGCAUCAUUUCAGGGUAAAGUAUAUGUAGAUUAAUUAAAAUAGAUCUCCGGUUUUCAUCUGCUAACAUGAUGCAUUGGAACUAAAAAUUUCAAUAAUUUUACCUAUUAAAUUAGCAACUUAUGGUAUGAUUGAUAUCUGAUGGAUCAGUCGUACAAAUUAAACAAGAUUAGCUAAAAGUGAAACGUAAUGGGUUGGGUUGAAAGUCACUAAAGAUGUUCUCAGUACAUCAACCUUCUGGAAUCAAUUUAUUAUAAAAAACUCGAUAGUUAAUUUAAGAAUUUAGUUUCUUUCUAAUUUUUUAUUUAUACACAAAAAAGAUGCAAAAAAUGGACAAGAGUGUUCCAACGUCAGCGCCCAGACAAAAAUGUUUGACCUGAACCUUUCUAUAUUUGCGAUUAGAUUAUGUUGAUUAUAGAGAAGGUUUAGAUACAAUGGUGACUUGGAUGGAUGGCUAAGAACCGGUGAUCUUUGCUACUAUGACAAUGUAGGAUUCUUAUUUGUUGUGGACCGGUUAAAAGGGUUGAUCAAGUAUAAAGGUUACCAGAUAUGCUUUAUGAAUUCAAACAUUUAUAGUUAAAAUAGGUGGCAAUCACAGGCGGGUCAUGUAAGUUGGGUAACGGGUCAUACGGGCCAGGCCUAUCGUGUUGAUUCGUAGCGCCUUUUGGCCAAACUUUUUUAAUCUUUAGAGUUCUUACUACUUGCUUAUGGAGACAUUCAACCAGUUCAAGCUAUGUAGCUCAUGCCUUAAUUCAUUCCAAAGAAAGUAUCUUUGAAGACCCAUUUUUGGUUUUAUUAGACUGGGUUAUCUUUCACUCAGAUCCUAGUAAUUGGCUUGGGGUCACAUAUUCUGCAAAUCAAGUUACAAAACUGAUAUUCUUAAUUCUGCUUAAAUGAUGCUCCAAAUGGAAGGAGGUUGACUUGGGUAAUGUUAUAAACGGUAUGGGUUGAUUUGCAUUAUCAUGUAUUAUGUCUACAUUAUAGAUGUUCUAUUCUUUGCAUUAUGCUGGGUGAAGAUUACAAUUUUU